AAACAACACAGCAACAACGAAUACAAUUGAUAUUAUGUGUGUUAGAUUUACACUAGGUGUGCGUUUCAUUGAUGAUUGAUAAUUAAUCAUUGAUAAUGGUCACUAGUAUGGGGGGGGGGGGGGGGGGGGGGGGGGGGGUCUGUGAGCUUUUACAUUGCAAAAGCUCACAGACGCGUGUCAGAUAAAACAAUGACAUCAAGCCAAGUGUUUUCUGUAUUGAUGUCAUCGCCAUGUCUCCAUCAGCGGUUGUGAUGCCGUCGGCCAGGGGGAUCCGAGCAGACGGAGUGGUUCGCAUCUGUGCCAUCUGCCGCGCAGUGGGCUCCCGUCAGAUUAAGUAAAUCAGUAGAUACUUUAUUCAUACCCUUUCAGGUAUUCAUUAGCAACAGUCAGUACAGUACAGUUGAAUAACAAAAAGAUUGACAAACAGUAAAAGUCAAAUAAUUAUUUUGUUGACUUUUAUUGACUUAAAUUAAUACAAGUAGCCUAAAUAAAAGUUAAUAGAAAGUGAACAAUAUUUCACAUAAUUAAAAAUUCCAUAGAAAAAAGAGCCAAAGGUAGAUAAAUAUCAUGCAAUAGCACAUUGUGCAGUGUGUGUGAGGGUGGGUUGGGGGGGAGAGAGAGAGAGAGAGAGUCAUACACACAGAUUACCUCUAGGACCGCCCAGUCGGCCGGAUUAACGCCUGUCUGUCGUCCGUCUACAGGGAUGACACUCAACGCACACUCCAAUGUCUCCUGCAUCCACUUUAGCUUCGAUGUCCACUUUCCCUGCAGCGACAUGACGACGUGCAGUCGAAAGCGACGCUCUGAACUGGUGACUCGGGCCAUGCCAGCCCCGCUUUGUUUAUUUAUCUUUAUUUUUAAGGUCAACGCACUGGCCCCGCCUGGAGACGCUCAGCAGAAGUAGAGUAUAGGGCUUCAGGUGGACCGAGCUGCUGCCAUGUCGCUGCUGUGUGUCCGAGUGAAGAAAGCCAAUCUCCAUGGCCCUCCAGGUAAGAGUUCACCUCCUCAUCAUCACAUCCUCAUCUGCUCCUCAACACCUCCUCCUAAUCAACAUCUCCUCACCACCUCCUCCUCACCACCUCCUCCUCACCACCUCCUCCUCACCACCUCCUCCUCACCACCUCCUCAUCACCUCCUCCUCACCACCUCCUCCUCACCACCUCCUCCUCACCACCUCCUCACCACCUCCUCCUCACCACCUCCUCAUCACCUCCUCCUCACCUGCACCUCAUCACCUCCUCCUCACCACCUCCUCCUCACCACCUCCUCAUCACCUCCUCCUCACCUGCACCUCAUCACCUCCUCCUCACCACCUCCUCAUCACCUCCUCCUCACCACCUCCUCCUCACCUGCACCUCAUCACCUCCUCACCUGCACCUCAUCACCUCCUCCUCACCACCUCCUCAUCACCUCCUCCUCACCACCUCCUCCUCACCUGCACCUCAUCACCUCCUCCUCACCACCUCCUCAUCACCACCUCCUCAUCACCUCCUCCUCACCUGCACCUCAUCACCUCCACCUCACCACCUCCUCAUCACCUCCUCAUCACCAACACCUCCUCACCACCUGCUCCUCACCUGCACCUCAUCUCCUCCUCCUAAUCAACACCUCCUCAACACCUCCUCCUUAA
rnacentral:lncRNA from 1 species